rnacentral:tRNA from 1 species
GGCAGUGUAGCAUAGUGGUAAGGAGUAGGACUCAUAAGUGAAAGGUUGCCAGUUCAAUUCCCCACUGGGCCACUGCUG